GACGAACGCUGGCGGCGCGCUUAACACAUGCAAGUCGAACGGAAAGGCCUGCUUUCCCUUGUGGAUUGCGGGUACUCGAGUGGCGAGCGGGUGAGUAACACGUGAGUGAUCUGCCCCCAACUUGGGUAUAAGCCUGGGAAACUGGGUCUAAUUCCCGAUAGGACUGCAGGGUGGUGCCUGUGGUGGAAAACGAUUUUCUAGUGGUUGGGGAUGAGCUCGCGGCCUAUCAGCUUGUUGGUGGGGUAAUGGCCUACCAAGGCGGCGACGGGUAGCCGGCCUGAGAGGGUGGACGGCCACAUUGGGACUGAGAUACGGCCCAGACCCCUACGGGAGGCAGCAGUGGGGAAUAUUACACAAUGGGCGGAAGCCUGAUGCAGCGACGCCGCGUGGGGGAUGACGGCCUUCGGGUUGUAAACUCCUUUCGACCGCGAGGAAGCCACCUGGUUGGAAGGGUGGUGACGGUAGUGGUAGAAGAAGCACCGGCUAACUACGUG
rnacentral:rRNA from 1 species